rnacentral:rRNA from 1 species
AACGAACGCUGGCGGCGUGGAUAAGACAUGCAAGUCGAGCGCUCAUCCGGUUGCAGCAAUGUAAACGGGUGGGAGCGGCGCAAGGGUGCGUAACGCGUGGGUAAUUUGCCGUGAAGUUGGGAAUAACUCGCUGAAAGGCGAGCUAAUGCCGAAUGUGGUUGCCUGGUGGAAUCACCGGGUUACUAAAGUUGGGGACCGAAAGGCCUGACGCUUCACGAUAAGCCCGCGCCCUAUCAGCUAGUUGGUGAGGUAACGGCCCACCAAGGCGAAGACGGGUAGCUGGUCUGAGAGGACGACCAGCCACACUGGAACUGAGACACGGUCCAGACACCUACGGGUGGCAGCAGUCGAGAAUUUUUCACAAUGGGCGCAAGCCUGAUGGAGCGACGCCGCGUGGGGGAUGAAGGGCUUCGGCCCGUAAACCCCUGUCAUUUGCGAACAAACCUUGCCCGUGAACAACGGGCGAGCUGAUGGUAGCGAAAGAGGAAGGGACGGCUAACGUCUGUGCCG